ACAUGUGCGUAGUAGGCCUGCUCGCAUGGUGCCCAGUAUGCCUUAGCCCUCUGCGCAUGCAGGCUAGCCCCUGCGCACACAACAGUAAGCCUGUGCACCUGCAAGCUAAUUUGCAGCGCGCUGGUCAGGCACUGGCACUUCGGGCAGUGCACUGCCGUUGCCUUGGGCAGUGUUCUGCCACCGCCGGUGGAGGAAAUUUUUCCCUCACAUUUUUUCAACCAAAAAUCUUAUUCUCAUCUCUCG
rnacentral:lncRNA from 1 species